UGCUCCCUGGGAUACGCGUUAGCUGGCAAUGUCCCUGUGCCGAUAUCUACAAACCCAGGGUGAACGUUUUACUGACAUUGUGCAAGCUCGGCUCGUAUCGAGAAGCCUUAGGAGGUAUUCGUUUACCCGCCUUGAACUUACGGUUCAAAGGUCUACGUCGGCGACGGUAUUCUGGGGAGCAA
rnacentral:other from 1 species